rnacentral:rRNA from 1 species
GACGAACGCUGGCGGCGUGCUUAACACAUGCAAGUCGAACGGAAAGGCCCUGCCUUUGUGGGGUGCUCGAGAGGCGAACGGGUGAGUAAGACGUGAGUAACCUGCCCUUGCCUUUGGGAUAACUUGAGGAAACUGGGGCUAAUAACAGAUAGGAGCUCCUGCUGCUUGGUGGUGGUUGGUAAGUUACGGCGGUUUGGGAUGGAAUCGCGGCUUGUCAGCUUGUUGGUGGGGUAGUUGGUUGGUGAGGCUUGGACGGUUAGCCGGCCUGGGAGGGUGACCGGCCACAUUGGGACUGAGAUGCGGCCCAGACUCCUACGGGAGGCAGCAGUGGGGAAUAUUGCGCAAUAGGCGGAAGCCGGGUGCAGCGACGCCGCGUGCUGGAUGACGGUCUUCGGGUUGUAAACCGCUUUCGCCUGUGACGAAGCGUGAGUGACGGUAAUUGGUAAAGAAGCACCGGCUAACUACGUG